rnacentral:rRNA from 3 species
UGGGGAAUAUUGGGCAAUGGGCGCAAGCCUGACCCAGCGACGCCGCGUGAGGGAAGAAGGUCUUCGGAUUGUAAACCUCUUUGACAGGGGACGAAGUAAGUGACGGUACCCUGAAAACAAGCCACGGCUAACUACGUGCCAGCAGCCGCGGUAAUACGUAGGUGGCGAGCGUUAUCCGGAAUUACUGGGUGUAAAGGGUGUGUAGGCGGGAUCGCAAGUCAGUGGUGAAACCCGUGGGCUCAACCCACGGCCUGCCAUUGAAACUGCGGUUCUUGAGAAUGGGAGAGGUAAACGGAAUUCCCGGUGUAGCGGUGAAAUGCGUAGAUAUCGGGAGGAACAUCGGUGGCGAAGGCGGUUUACUGGACCAUAACUGACGCUGAGACACGAAAGCGUGGGGAGCAAACAGG